rnacentral:lncRNA from 1 species
AGAAAACCCUUUUGGUGAGUAGAAGAGAAGCAGUGUAGCUGAGUACAAUAAAUACACCUUCUGGAAAUUUAUAUAUAUAUAUGAUACAUGCAAGCCUACUAAUACUACCAAGGUAGGAAGAAAAAUUUGGUUUGUUCAACUAUUGGUAUGUCCUAAGAAAUAUUUCCAGAAUAUUUUUCCCCAGUCACUUACAGUGUCCUUAUCUUGAGCAAAUAUAUCUAGGCAAUUCCCUUUUACCUGAAUUUUUUCUGGGAACAUUGACCACAAAUUUUUUCCUUGAUAUAAUAGCCAGUUUCAGUUGUGCCACAAAAACGUGUCUUGAUUUCAUAAAAAGUUUGCUGUAGGCAGGUUCUGGGUGUGGGGCUUGGCAAAAAUAAUGGGCCAAACUUUAUGCCAGCUGUGAAACAGUUUAUCUUUAAAGUUUCUCUGUGAAUACCUUGGGAGAGAAAUUUAGGCCUUGCUCUAAAAAUGAUGAACUUGGAAGAGUGAAUAAUACUGAGUUUCAGGCAGAGCAGAUCAUAGAUGGAUGGCUUCAUACUGCUAAGUGCCACUUUUGUCAGAACUAAGGUGCACUGUAUGAAGACUGCUGUGCUUGUUAGUUUUUUAAUGCUGUG